AAGAAUUAGACGUCAAAGUUGCCGAAACAAGUCGAGUUUGCGCAUCCCUAAUCUGAACAUGGCCGUGUUGGUUUCAACACUGGCCGUGUUCCCAACACGUGCACCAACACGGCCGUGUUGGUGCAUCAAACAUCAAAGAAACAGAAGUUUUAGGGAGCACGACCACAGAGAGUGACACGGGCAUCAACACCAGCCCGUAUUGGGAACACGGCCACCAACACGGCCGUGU
rnacentral:lncRNA from 1 species